rnacentral:rRNA from 1 species
AUUGAACGCUGGCGGCAUGCCUUACACAUGCAAGUCGAACGGCAGCACGGGAGCUUGCUCCUGGUGGCGAGUGGCGAACGGGUGAGUAAUACAUCGGAACGUACUCAGUAGUGGGGGAUAACGCACCGAAAGGUGCGCUAAUACCGCAUACGACCUACGGGUGAAAGCGGGGGACCGCAAGGCCUCGCGCUAUUGGAGCGGCCGAUGUCUGAUUAGCUAGUUGGCGGGGUAAAGGCCCACCAAGGCGACGAUCAGUAGCUGGUCUGAGAGGACGAUCAGCCACACUGGGACUGAGACACGGCCCAGACUCCUACGGGAGGCAGCAGUGGGGAAUUUUGGACAAUGGGGGCAACCCUGAUCCAGCAAUGCUGCGUGUGCGAAGAAUGCCUUCGGGUUGUAAAGCACUUUUGUCAGGGAAGAAAUCUUUCAGGCUAAUACCCUUGGAAGGAUGACGGUACCUGAAGAAUAAGCACCGGCUAACUACGUGCCAGCAGCCGCGGUAA